GACAGAGGGUGCAAACGUUGUUCGGAAUUACUGGGCGUAAAGCGUGUGUAGGCGGCUUUGUAAGUCGGAUGUGAAAGCCCCGGGCUCAACCCGGGAAGUGCACUCGAUACUGCGAAGCUUGAGUACUGGAGAGGUUGGUGGAAUUCUCGGUGUAGAGGUGAAAUUCGUAGAUAUCGAGAGGAACACCGGUGGCGAAGGCGGCCAACUGGACAGAUACUGACGCUGAGGAGCGAAAGCGUGGGGAGCGAACAGG
rnacentral:rRNA from 1 species